rnacentral:rRNA from 1 species
GAUGACCUCUAGCUACAGGCUUAACACAUGCAAGUCGAGGGGAAACGACAUCGAAAGCUUGCUUUUGAUGGGCGUCGACCGGCGCACGGGUGAGUAACGCGUAUCCAACCUGCCCACCACUUGGGGAUAACCUUGCGAAAGUAAGACUAAUACCCAAUGACGUCUCUAGAAGACAUCUGAAAGAGAUUAAAGAUUUAUCGGUGAUGGAUGGGGAUGCGUCUGAUUAGCUUGUUGGCGGGGUAACGGCCCACCAAGGUAACGAUCAGUAGGGGUUCUGAGAGGAAGGUCCCCCACAUUGGAACUGAGACACGGUCCAAACUCCUACGGGAGGCAGCAGUGAGGAAUAUUGGUCAAUGGACGAGAGUCUGAACCAGCCAAGUAGCGUGCAGGAAGACGGCCCUAUGGGUUGUAAACUGCUUUUAUAAGGGAAUAAAGUGAGUCUCGUGAGACUUUUUGCAUGUACCUUAUGAAUAAGGACCGGCUAAUUCCGUGCCAGCAGCCGCGGUAAUACGGAAGGUCCGGGCGUUAUCCGGAUUUAUUGGGUUUAAAGGGAGCGUAGGCCGGAGAUUAAGCGUGUCGUGAAAUGUAGAUGCUCAACAUCUGAACUGCAGCGCGAACUGGUUUCCUUGAGUACGCACAAAGUGGGCGGAAUUCGUGGUGUAGCGGUGAAAUGCUUAGAUAUCACGAAGAACUCCGAUUGCGAAGGCAGCUCACUGGAGCGCAACUGACGCUGAAGCUCGAAAGUGCGGGUAUCGAACAGGAUUAGAUACCCUGGUAGUCCGCACGGUAAACGAUAGAUGCCCGCUGUUGGUCUGAAUAGGUCAGCGGCCAAGCGAAAGCAUAA